rnacentral:tRNA from 1 species
UCUAAUAUGGCAGACUAGUGCCAUAGAUUUAAGAUCUAUUCAUAAAGUUUAACUUUUUUUAGAA